AACCAGCACAAGCCUGGUCUGCAGUACCGUCUGACGGGUCAGAGCGGUCCAGUGCACUUCCCGGUGUUCACCAUGUCCGUAGACGUGGACGGCGAUACAUACGAGGCCUCGGGGCCGUCCAAACGCACCGCCAAACUCCACCUAGCUGCCAAGGUCCUGCAGAAGUUGGGCCUGCCCACUGGGGCGGAUGUGAAGAUUGAACCAGGCGAAGAGGGAGGAGCCAACGUACCAUCCACACCUACAGCAAGUGAUGCGUCCAUGGCAUCUGACGAGAACGGCCCCCAUCCUCACUAAGCACGGGAAGAACCCAGUUAUGGAGCUGAACGAGAAGAGACGCAGCCUGAAGUACGAGCUCUCUGCUGAGACCGGGGGCAGCCAUGACAAGUGCUUCGUCAUGGGAGGUCAGUCAUGGCAGAUGGGCGGGGUUUGCACGCUUGGGACAAUCCUAUCGAUUCAUUGCGCAAGGAUUUGGAAACUACUGUAGAUGAAUAACCAGUAAGGUUGGGGCUCGUAUCAACAAAGCAUCUCAGAGUAGAAGUGGUGAUCUAGGAUCCAGGUCCCCCAUGUUUAUGUAGAAUCUUAUUCUU